rnacentral:rRNA from 1 species
CCUACGGGAGGCAGCAGUGGGGAAUAUUGCACAAUGGGGGAAACCCUGAUGCAGCAACGCCGCGUGGGUGAAGGAGCGUUUCGGCGCGUAAAGCCCUGUCAGCGGGGAAGAAGAAAGACGGUACCCGACCAAGAAGCCCCGGCUAACUACGUGCCAGCAGCCGCGGUAAUACGUAGGUGGCAAGCGUUGUCCGGAUUUACUGGGUGUAAAGGGCGUGUAGCCGGGCUGACAAGUCAGAUGUGAAAUUCCGGGGCUCAACCCCGGACCUGCAUUUGAAACUGUUGGUCUUGAGUAUCGGAGAGGCAGGCGGAAUUCCUAGUGUAGCGGUGAAAUGCGUAGAUAUUAGGAGGAACACCAGUGGCGAAGGCGGCCUGCUGGACGACAACUGACGGUGAGGCGCGAAAGCGUGGGGAGCAAACAGGAUUAGAUACCCGGGUAGUC